rnacentral:rRNA from 1 species
AUGGCGAAUCACCCAGGCAUGAACCUCCAGUCCCUGUUUGCCAUCAUCAGGGUGAUGGCAGAGCAUCUUCGACAGCACGACCGAGUCGGGCUUGUGCCCUUCUCCGAGCAUCCUUCUCCAGACCUCCGUUGCCUGAGGAGAGAGGCCACCGUGCCCCAGCAAGCCAGCGAGCAUGACGUUCCACGAGACGGCGUCCCUCUCCGGCAUUGCGUCAAACACCUGGCACGCCAUCUCCAGGUCGCCGCACUGGGCGUACAUCUCCACGAGGGCGUCGCACACGGAGACGUCGGCAGCGAGGCCGGCGCUCACGGCGUCGCGGUGCACGGCCCGACCGAGCUCGGCGGACCGGGCGCCUGCGCAGGCCCGGAGCGCGCUCUCGAAGGUGAACCCGUCGCGCGGGGCGCCCUCCUCGUCCAUCUGGAGGUAGAGGGCAAGCGCAUCGUCGUAGCGGCCGACGUGUGCGUAGCCGGCGACGAGGCAGUUCCACGGGAACGCGCGGUCCCGGCGGGUGCGCGCGGGAAGGAGGUGGUCGAAGAUGUGGUGCGCGUAGGCGAGGAGGCCGAGGGAGGCGUGGAUGUGGAGGAGGCGGAGCGCGAGGUCCGGGUGGCGGCGGAGGAGGGAGACGGGCAGGAGGCCGCGGAGGGCCGCGAGGCGGCGGCGCGGGGACGGGUGGAGCGGGAGCGCGGCGAGGAGCGGGGCGAGGAGGGACGGCGUGAGGAGGCGCGGCUGGGCCUCCAGGUCGGAGAACACGCGGUCGAGGGUCGCCGGACGUGUCGGCGGCGGUGUCGGCGUGGAGAGGGGAGGGGCGAGGCGGGUGGAGGGAGCCGGAGCGCGGCGGUGGCGCCGCCGCGGGAGCGCGCGCGAGGCGUGGGUGACAGCUGCGGUCAGCGCCAUUGGUUGCUUAUCGUUGCUUUUCAGUUCAGAAAGCUGUCAGUCAGUCUUUUUCUUAACGCAACGCAGACGCAAGAGCUCGUAUAA